rnacentral:rRNA from 1 species
ACGAACGCUGGCGGCGUGCCUAAUCCAUGCAAGUUGAGCGCUGAAGGUUGGUACUUGUACCAACUGGAUGAGCAGCGAACGGGUGAGUAACGCGUGGGGAAUCUGCCUUUGAGCGGGGGACAACAUUUGGAAACGAAUGCUAAUACCGCAUAAAAACUUUAAACACAAGUUUUAAGUUUGAAAGAUGCAAUUGCAUCACUCAAAGAUGAUCCCGCGUUGUAUUAGCUAGUUGGUGAGGUAAAGGCUCACCAAGGCGAUGAUACAUAGCCGACCUGAGAGGGUGAUCGGCCACAUUGGGACUGAGACACGGCCCAAACUCCUACGGGAGGCAGCAGUAGGGAAUCUUCGGCAAUGGACGAAAGUCUGACCGAGCAACGCCGCGUGAGUGAAGAAGGUUUUCGGAUCGUAAAACUCUGUUGGUAGAGAAGAACGUUGGUGAGAGUGGAAAGCUCAUCAAGUGACGGUAACUACCCAGAAAGGGACGGCUAACUACGU